GAUGAGUCAUAAAUGUGAGAAAGAGGCACC
rnacentral:piRNA from 1 species